AUUGCACAGUCUGUUGCUCUACAUAAUUCAUUUUCUGCACUUUCAGAGUGUAAUGGUGUUGUGGAGAGAGAGGCACCGAGGGCAGUGGUGUUGUGGAGAGAGAGGCACCGAGGGCAGUGGUGUUGUGGAGAGAGAGGCACUGAGGGCAGUGGUGUUGUGGAGAGAGAGGCACUGAGGGCAGUGGUGUUGUGGAGAGAGAGGCACUGAGGCUAGUGGUGUUGUGGAGAGAGGGG